rnacentral:miRNA from 1 species
GAGGUGUCAUUGACAUACAAAGAAAAAUACAUAUUGCAUGUGUAUAAUAUGAGAAGUUAGAACAUGCAAUAUGUAUGUUUCUUUGUAUGUCAAUGAUAUCUUAAUAAAGUU